UGACAAGGAAUAGCAGGGCAGUAGGUCAGCCUCGAGUGCUGCAUCCCCGCUCCCCGAGGAGCCAAUAGGUUCGAACCUUGCCUUUGCCCUGGAGAAAAUAAAAAGAGGAGGUUGGUUAGGGAACAGCACACCUACUGGCCCAAAUCACUGGAGGAAUUUAAGUUACGGGAGUGGCCGGGAGAUCCUCCGGGAUCUAAGUGUCCUUCUCUACCUUCAUUUCCACGUCACCUCGGAGCUCCAGCUCAAAACCAUCGAACUCUUCCAGCACAGCCUUGGUCUCCGAAGACAAGUGGAUCCUGAGGGCUGGAGAGAGCAGGGGAGGAAGGUUUUCCACAAGAGCAGGAAGAGCUCUGAACUGCUGAGCUGUCACUCUGGCCCAUCCAAGCCCUGUUUGCCUCUCUUUUGAAGAGCUCAUGUUAUCUAAACUGACUUUGACCUCCUGACCUUCCUGCCUCCAUGUGCAGCAGUCUGGUUUCUGUGCGGAGGGCCAUCCUACCUUCCCCAUUAGACUCCAUUCUUGAAGCUGUGUUGACUGUGUCUCCAAAGAGGCAGUAUCGGGGCAUCUUUAGCCCUACCACACCAGCACACACGGGACCUGGGAGGGGAAAAGAAAGGAACAGAGUCCAGGGAAGUCAGAGGAGGCUCCGGAGGCCUUCCGUGGUCAGACCUGUGUGAAUUCCAAUGCGCAAGCGCAGCUGUUCCUGGGGCCUAUGGCGGAUGCGGAAGGAGCGUACAGCAUCGAGCAGUGCAAGUGCCAUUCGGGCUACCUCUCGGGCAUGGAGCUGUCCAUUCCUCACUGGGAGCCCUGAUACCACCAUGAGCCUGGACUGUCUCGCCUCUCUUCAGCUGCUCAGCCACAGAGCUGAGGGGAGAGGGCAGGUAGAGACCAAGAGGGGUUUUAGGUGAAAAGAACAACUGGCCUUGAACCCACAGACAUCUACCUGCUUCUCUGACCAGCUGGAGUUCUUACUUAUUCUUAUUGAACACAAGGCCAGGCGGAUCUGUUGAAAGGGUGGCCGCUCCUGAGGAUCCUCUGCCCAGCACCUCUGCAUCAGCUGCCCCAGUUCCUCCAGGUGGCUCUGCAGAUCCAUGGAAGGUCGGAAUGGGGGCUGCUCGCCCCGAGUCACACGCUCAAUGAUCUCUGUGUGGAAGGGGCACGC
rnacentral:lncRNA from 1 species